ACAGAAAAUCUGCCCUCCCCGAAUCAAUGCUGUGAUGUCCAUCUGCCACCCAGGGAGGAGGCGGCUUUGGUACCUUGACAUUAUGGACUCACAGACGGAACUCUUCCUGCGGCUGGUGAGGUCUGAAAGCACCAUUCGCUGGGAGAUUCUUUUUAAGAUCAUCUCGCUCCGGUGUUCUGCUUCCAAGCUCGCUGGGAAACCCUCUAACAACUUGGCCUCCUGUAUGCUUGCUUCUCAUGAUAUGAUAAUAAACAGGCAUUUGGGCUCCAUGAACUUGAUUAAGGCAAGGUGGCCUCUGAGAGGUGACAGAGCUACUUCCUAAGUGCUCCGACGAAGCAGGCUUCUUAACCUGCCAGCCUAGUGCAGACCUUGGGCUGAGCAGAUUCAUCAAGAUAAAUGCGACCUUGAGGGGACUUCUGAGCAGCCGGCCGUAACAUUAGAAACUGGCUAAAAUCUCUCUCGAUAGCAGUUUUAACAUGCAUCCUGCUGAAUUUUAUUUGAAUCGAGGGGGAGAAACACUGGCUCCUCUGUACUAUCUGCCUUUCUCUGUCCAGGAGGCGGUUGGGAAGAAAUCCUAAUCCAGACUCUUUAUGGGGGGGUGGGGUACAUUCUCCUAUUUAUGCUGCCGUCUCCUGCUCUUUUGCUUGUAGGUCAGGUCUUCCUGAGCUGCAGAAUUUUCUUCCAGACGAAAAUGAGAGGAAAGAAAUAAACUCUCAACUCAUGGUGCAUUUGGAAUUCCAUAGACUUCCCCACAGUCACCUUACAUUUCUAUAAACUUCCGUCACCCGUUCUUGUAAUCCAGACAUAAUUUUUAAAAUUACUUAGACUCAUUUCCCUGUGACAGCAUCUGUGGUACCCAGAGUGAGAAAGUAAAGUGGAUGUGAUGGAUGAACUGCAGUCAACGUAAGCGAAAGAAGAGUCUGCCGCUUGUUGUUUGUCAAAUGAUCCUUUGCACUCGCUCGGGUUGUCUUCACCCAGAAGAAUCUAGUGUAGGGAGGAGACUCGCAUAUGCAAACAGCAGGGGCUCCAAUGAAAAUAUAUUUGAGAACUGUCAGGCUGUCAUGGAAGAAAAUUAAAGUGAGAUUGACAGUAAGGUGCCUCUUUAAUUUUCUAAGGAAUUUUUCAGAGACACAUCUAUCUUACCAUCACACAUCCUAUUUAACUUUCUUCUCCAUUUAGAGAAGAAAUUUUAAAAUAUCAAGGAUAUUCUUUUUCCUUAAGGAAUUUAAAAAAAUGAGAAUUCACCGCCCUGCCUUCAAACAGGAAUAGACUUAUUGCCUCAUUAAAUAACUGGUGAGGAACUUUGUGUGAGUGACAGCUCAUCUUUGGGAUCUAAAAUACAGAAAGUUCUGUGAUUCUAAAGCAUUGGCUCUGUUGACAGGUGGACUUGGGUCUCUGUGGGUUGGUAACACGGUUGAGAAACAGUUGUCAUGUCCUGCUGUGUGGUAUUAUUCUAAGGCAUUCCUGGUAAUCUCCAAGGGUAUUAGCGGACACUGUGUUUCUUAGAUCAAAAUUAAUUUAAAUAUACUUGAAUUUUUUUUUAAAAAAAGAUCUGUAGCGUAUGAUUUGAGGAAGAAGUGAUUCCUACCGCCAGAAAGUAUAAAUAUACUGUAGGUGGGCAGUGCAUGCUUUGAUUUGCAAUGUUGGCCAUUUUAGGCUAGAUGUUUGUUUAUAUAUGUUAUUUUAUGUCAGCAUAAAAACAGAAAUCACCAUUCUUCAGAGCAAAGACUAUACACCAAAGUAUAUCAAGGGUCUCUGAGUAGUACCUGUGAUGGGUAGAGGGAGCAGUCACAAGCCAAGCCAAGCCAAGAGCGAGAACUUCUGAUGAGUGAGGUGGUUUCCCGGGCUAAGGGCAGGCAUCUACGGUGAGGCCUGGGGUGGCCUUCCAGAAGUCAGAGGCUGAUUUCUUCAGCUGAUGGUCUCCACACCGUUGAAGAUUCAGGCAGGCAGAUAAACUUGGCCAAAAAGAAAAUUACGAACGUGAGAAACAUUCCUAUGGAGAUACUGUCAUAGAAAUAGGAGAGAAAUAGAAAGGGUUUGAAAAGAUUUGUUCUUUUCCAAAGGCAGGUUGAAGUGGCCUCAUGUUGACUGUCCCUGCUGGGUGAGUUCAGGCGCAGGAUGCGUUUCAUGAAGCCCCCACUCCAGAGAGUGAAUGAGAAGAGGGAUGGGGGUGACAUGCCUAGGGGUCUGGGGCCAGCCCAGGGAUGGUUGGGAAUGUGGGGGUGGGCAGAAGAAUUCUGUCUAGAUCUGAUCUGGAUCUAUGCUGGUCUUUAGGAAGCUCCCCUCUGGACAUGGACUUGGAAGCUGGAGCUCUAGGGUCUUGGGAAGAAUGUCAGUCAGUGUCAGUUGGGGGUGUGUAUAUCCACACAAUUCAUGUGUGUCCUUAUACAAGUCAUGCAUGUGUGUCCACACAGUUCAUGUGUAUGUGUCCACACAAUUCAUACGUGUUCCUCCACGCCAUUCAUGUGUGUGCCUCCACACAGUUUGUGAGGAUUCCUGCCUGCAGCACAGGGAGUAGGAAUGUGAGGAUUCAGUGGCUAGAGGCAGGCAGAGGGUCAAAGUGUGGUUGACUGGUGUUUGUGAUAAGGUCCCCUAAGCAUUUAGGCAGAAGCCUUGUCGGAUGGACACAGAGCAAAGGUCACCUGAUGGCCAGCAUGCAGUGGGCCGGCAGGUGACCUGGGCUCACCCCAGCCUCCCUGGAUACUGAUUUAUUAGCAGUGAAAGCAGUUGCAGUUGGCCCUGGCUAGUCCGUGAAAGCCUACUGAUCUCUGGCCCAUUUCGGUCAAGAUUAAUUUAGGAACUUGACGUCUGGAUGGGUUUAGCUAGCACAGGGGCCAGGGAAGGCAAGAAUAAAUAUUGAAUAUAAGAGGUUCUUUUCACUCUGAUCAAGAAACCAAAUAUCAAAGCCAAACAUCUGACAUCUAAGGAAGUCCAUAUGUUAAAACAAGUGAAGACAGAGUUGGGUUUUUUUUUUUUUUUAAGCUCAAAGACUUUGCUCUGCAGAGUUUGUCUUCACAAGGGCAGAUGAGGCAUGAGGUUCUGAAGUAUUUAAGAAGAUCUAUGCAAAGCAAAGAGAGUGGCCAGAGUUCUCAUAUUUGAUGCAUUCACUGUAACAGAGUUCAACAGACAGUGUGCUUCCUGUGAAACUCUUUCUUUCAAACAAAAAUACCCAGAGUGGCGACUUUCCUUAAUCACUUGACUCUGAAUAAAAUUGUGAGUGUGCACCCUUGGUCCCAACUGCAACCAUGCCAGUUCUUGGAACUCAGAUGAAGUAGACUUGUCUCCAUUCUGCAGGUCCUAAGACAACCAGUGUCCUUGAAAUAUCUGAGGGUUUUUUUUUUUUUUAUGUUAUUUUAUUUUUGUCAUGGGGGAGGUGGUUGGGGAAGGAUGAAGUUGUUUUCUGUGGUCUCUCCUGUCUCUGAGUUUAACUUCACUGAACUAUGUCAGUUUCUGAAUGAUCUUGCUGUGUUUUCCAAGUUCUUUUUGUUCUGUCUUAUGCUCACAUGACUCGCAUUCAUCUCUCCAAAAUCCAACAAAUACAAUACUGUAAAACGUAGUACAGUUUUAAUGAUGUUUUGUAGCAGUGGGGGUGGGUCAUUACAUUGCUGCCUCUAGACACUGUGAGAUGGAUUAUUAACCCUCAACUUAGAAAUUUUGAGGAUGUCUCCCUGGCUUCCAACCUCUCACCAUGCUCCUCAGUCUUUACUUCCCUUAUUCCUCAUUUCCCCAGCCCUCCCUUUCACCUCCAGAUGCCUAUUAAUUUUUUAGUCAAGAGUAAAUUAGCUUCAUGUUUUGGGUUUUUUGUUUUGUUUUGUUUUGUUUUGCCUUUUCUAGGGCCGCUCCUGCGGUAGGUGGAGGUUCCCAGGCUAGGAGUCUAAUCGGAGCUGUCGCCGCCAGCCUACACCACAACCACAGCAACGUGGGAUCUGAGCCACAUCUGUGACCUACACCACAGCUCACGACAACGCCGGAUCCUUAACCCACUGAGCAAGGCCAGGAAUGGAACCCGAAACCUCAUGGUUCCUAGUUGGACUCGCCUACCACUGAGCCACGCCAGGAGCUCUAGCUUCAUGUUUUAAAGAUUCCUUCUCGACCGGUGCUUUUCUAGUUGCAGGAGGUGACCAAUUAAUGCACUGAGACUUCAUUCCAUAUGUUGAAGCAAUCAUUUUAGGAAAAUCAGAUCAAAUAGGAAACACCCUAGUACCUUGCUCGUGGUAAAGUGCGAGUUUUCGGUAGAUUCCCUCAUGCCAUGCAGCCUGUUUUAUUCCGCUGCUGCUGGCCGGGCAGGACGAUCUUGUUUCCACCCCCAAGUGUCCUAGCAAGGCAUCUUCCCAAACAAAUGACAUUUCUGUAGGUUCUCAAACAUCAAAUCUCUUUAUGGAGAUUUGCUGCCGAGGCACCAAGAACUUUAAAGGCUGUUCCCAAUGAGGUGUUUCGCAGAGUCUUUGCACAGCAAGAACAAAGUGUCCAGUGAUGGCACCGUUCUGGGCAACCUUUAUUUAGAAGCAUGUCGACCUUUGUUUAGGAAAAAGUCCAAGCCGAUUCAUCAGUACUCAUGCCAGUCCUCUGUUACUAAAGAAUAAAGAGGGAGUGAAGAGUGUGGUUAAGGAACCAGGGAAUGAUCUGACUUGGCAAAUUCAGGGAUUCUUCAUGUAGGCUACUGGUGUCAGUAUUGCUCAAGCAGGACCUGCCAUGCCAGGGUGCUGAGAUCCAGUGUGUGUGUUGGCACUGGGCUGGAAAAGUGGGGGAUGAGUAAUUAGGGUAAGGGGUCCAAUUUGAUAAGCAAUAAAAGUUCUGUCUUUUAAAAAAAACAUUGUUGUUUUUUUUUUUUUCCUUUUUGGAUCAACAGCAAGAAUUUCCAUUUAAAACGAUGACCCCAUGGAGGUCCCUGAUGGCUCAUCCGCUUAUGGAUCUGGCAUUGUCACUGCUGUAGCUCAGGCCACUGUUCGGACAUGGGUCUCAUCCCUGGCCCUGGAACCUCUGCAUGACAC
rnacentral:lncRNA from 1 species